UACGGGGGGGGCAAGCGUUGUUCGGAAUUACUGGGCGUAAAGGGCGCGUAGGCGGUCAGCACAAGUCAGUUGUGAAAUCUCCGGGCUUAACUCGGAAAGGUCAACUGAUACUGUGCGACUAGAGUGCAGAAGGGGCAACUGGAAUUCUCGGUGUAGCGGUGAAAUGCGUAGAUAUCGAGAGGAACACCUGCGGCGAAGGCGGGUUGCUGGGCUGAUACUGACGUUGAGGCGCGAAAGCCAGGGGAGCGAACGGG
rnacentral:rRNA from 1 species